rnacentral:rRNA from 1 species
GACGAACGUUGGCGGCGUGCUUAACACAUGCAAGUCGAACGGAAAGGCCCUGCUUUUGUGGGGUGCUCGAGUGGCGAACGGUUGAGUAACACGUGAGUAACCUGCCCUUGACUUUGGGAUAACUUCAGGAAACUGGGGCUAAUACCGGAUAGGAGCUCCUGCUGCAUGGUGGGGGUUGGAAAGUUUCGGCGGUUGGGGAUGGACUCGCGGCUUAUCAGCUUGUUGGUGGGGUAGUGGCUUACCAAGGCUUUGACGGGUAGCCGGCCUGAGAGGGUGACCGGCCACAUUGGGACUGAGAUACGGCCCAGACUCCUACGGGAGGCAGCAGUGGGGAAUAUUGCACAAUGGGCGGAAGCCUGAUGCAGCAACGCCGCGUGCGGGAUGACGGCCUUCGGGUUGUAAACCGCUUUCGCCUGUGACGAAGCGUGAGUGACGGUAAUGGGUAAAGAAGCACCGGCUAACUACGUGCCAGCAGCCGCGGUGAUACGUAGGGUGCGAGCGUUGUCCGGAUUUAUUGGGCGUAAAGGGCUCGUAGGUGGUUGAUCGCGUCGGAAGUGUAAUCUUGGGGCUUAACCCUGAGCGUGCUUUCGAUACGGGUUGACUUGAGGAAGGUAGGGGAGAAUGGAAUUCCUGGUGGAGCGGUGGAAUGCGCAGAUAUCAGGAGGAACACCAGUGGCGAAGGCGGUUCUCUGGGCCUUUCCUGACGCUGAGGAGCGAAAGCGUGGGGAGCGAACAGGCUUAGAUACCCUGGUAGUCCACGCUGUAAACGGUGGGUACUAGGUGUGGGGUCCAUUCCACGGGUUCCGUGCCGUAGCUAACGCUUUAAGUACCCCGCCUGGGGAGUACGGCCGCAAGGCUAAAACUCAAAGGAAUUGACGGGGCCCCGCACAAGCGGCGGAGCAUGCGGAUUAAUUCGAUGCAACGCGUAGAACCUUACCUGGGUUUGACAUGGAUCGGGAGUGCUCAGAGAUGGGUGUGCCUCUUUUGGGGUCGGUUCACAGGUGGUGCAUGCCUGUCGUCAGCUCGUGUCGUGAGAUGUUGGGUUAAGUCCCGCAACGAGCGCAACCCUUGUUCACUGUUGCCAGCACGUUAUGGUGGGGACUCAGUGGAGACCGCCGGGGUCAACUCGGAGGAAGGUGGGGAUGACGUCAAGUCCUCAUGCCCCUUAUGUCCAGGGCUUCACGCAUGCUACAAUGGCUGGUACAGAGAGUGGCGAGCCUGUGAGGGUGAGCGAAUCUCGGAAAGCCGGUCUCAGUUCGGAUUGGGGUCUGCAACUCGACCUCAUGAAGUCGGAGUCGCUAGUAAUCGCAGAUCAGCAACGCUGCGGUGAAUACGUUCCCGGG